GACGAACGCUGGCGGCGUGCCUAAUACAUGCAAGUAGGACGCAGUUGCUAACGGGUGAGUAACGCGUAGGUAACUACCUAUUAGAGGGGGAUAACUAUUGGAAACGAUAGCUAAUACCGCAUACUAGUAGAUGGACCUGCGUUGUAUUAGGUAGUAGGUAGGGUAAUGGCCUACCUAGGCAACGAUACAUAGCCGACCUUAGAAGGGGGUCGGACAAGCUGGAACGGAGGCACGGCCCAGGCUCCUACGGGAGGCAGCAGUAGGGAAUCUUCGGAAAUGGGGGGAAGCCUGACCGAGCAACGCCGCGUGAGAGAAGAAGGUUUUCGGAUCGUAAAGCUCUGUUGUUAAGGAAGCGAUACUUAACCAGAAAGGGACGGCUAACUACGUGCCAGCAGCCGCGGUAAUAC
rnacentral:rRNA from 1 species